rnacentral:pre_miRNA from 1 species
UGAGGUAUCAAACAAUCACCUGAGACAAAGUUCAUAACUCAGGUCGAUUUAAGAUACCUCGA